rnacentral:rRNA from 1 species
AGUGAACGCUGGCGGUAGGCCUAACACAUGCAAGUCGAACGGCAGCACAAUAAGAGCUUGCUCUUACGGGUGGCGAGUGGCGGACGGGUGAGGAAUACAUCGGAAUCUACUUUUUCGUGGGGGAUAACGUAGGGAAACUUACGCUAAUACCGCAUACGACCUACGGGUGAAAGCAGGGGAUCUUCGGACCUUGCGCGAUUGAAUGAGCCGAUGACGGAUUAGCUAGUUGGCGGGGUAAAGGCCCACCAAGGCGACGAUCCGUAGCUGGUCUGAGAGGAUGAUCAGCCACACUGGAACUGAGACACGGUCCAGACUCCUACGGGAGGCAGCAGUGGGGAAUAUUGGACAAUGGGCGCAAGCCUGAUCCAGCCAUACCGCGUGGGUGAAGAAGGCCUUCGGGUUGUAAAGCCCUUUUGUUGGGAAAGAAAAGCAGCAGGUUAAUACCCCGCUGUUCUGACGGUACCAAAAGAAUAAGCACCGGCUAACUUCGUG